rnacentral:rRNA from 1 species
GACGAACGCUGGCGGCGUGCUUAACACAUGCAAGUCGAACGGAAAGGCCCUGCUUUUGUGUGGUUCUCGAGUGGCGAACGGGUGAGUAACACGUGAGUAACCUGCCCUUGACUUUGUGAUAUCUUCAGGAGACUGGGGCUAAUACCGGAGAGGAGCUCCUGCAGCAUGGUGUGGGUUGGAAAGUUUCGGCGGUUGGGGAUGGACUCGCGGCUUAUCAGCUUGUUGGGGGGGUAGUGGCUUACCCAGGCUUUGACGGGUAGCCUGCCUGAGAGGGUGGACGGGGACAUUGCGACUGCGGGAGGGAGCAGACGGGUACGGGAGGCAGUAGGGGGGAACAUUGCACAAUGGGCGGAAGCCUGAUGCAGCAACGUCGCGUUCGGGAUGACGGCCUUCGGGUUGUAAACCGCUGUCGCCUGUGACGAAGCGUUAGUGACGGUACUGGGUAAAGAAGCACCGGCUAACUACGUG